UCUAAUUUGCGUUUUCGGUUGUGUAAAAAUCGAAUAAUUUCAAUUUCAUAUAGUUUUGUUAUAAUGUAUAGUAUACUACUAAAUUAUGAUAAUUAUAAAACAGUGACAAUAUGUAUAUUUAUUUAGUGUGCGUGCGUAGGUAUAUAAUAUUAAAAUAUUAAAGGCAUUAGCAAUAUUAUAAGUUAUAUCACUGUCAUUCCGAGCAUAAUAUUUUUGUGGAUGACUACGAUGGCAACUGCGAUCGUCGGAUGAAUACUAUAUAGUAUAAUAUAACUAAUGGCUAUGGCACUAUGGCAGUAUAGCGUUUAAUAUUAUUAAUUAUUAUUACGCAAACGGUUCUUUGCCUCAACGAGCGUGAAGUUUCCCCUCCCUUCCGCCACGCUAAAACAUCUACGUAAAACUUUUGCGUGUAAAACAUCCGAGGACUCCAGGACAAACGAGUCCGGCGGCACCUCCUUGCGAGUUGCGACACGUCUAAAAUAGGGUCACACCGCUGCAGCUCUCAUGGGUUGUUCGCCGAUUACAUAUCAUCAUACUUAUUAAUAAUAAUAACAUUUUAUUACACACCCGUAAUAAUUGACUGACGAUGUAUAAUUAUAAAGUAUAUACGUUUAAUAGUAUUUUAUUAAGAAACAGAACAGACAUUUUUGUAUAUUAUUUUUAUUUAAAACCACGAAGAGUACAGUAAUAAUGUAGGUAAUAAUUACAAUUUAAAGUAUUGUAUUUGUAUUUUUACAAUUGUACCUACUGAGUAUAGAACGUGUUCGAAUACGUAGAUACGUAGUACGUAGAUGUAAAUUUACAGCAGCAAGUAAUCGUCUCUAUGAUUUAACAGCCACCAACAAUGAACUUCAAAUAAAAACCGAGGAACUCUCUCAUUAUUACGUAAUAAUUAUUACUAGGUUUAAAGUGUAUCUUGUCUUUGACACUCGAUGUGUUAAAUUUGAAUUUAAUAGUAAAAUCAUUGACCAUUGUAUACGAAAUACAAUUCUGAGCGAUGCCUGGAUGAAUCAACAUCCAGGAUCAACUUGUAUUUUAUUCAUACUAUUAAUAGUGUUUUCUUCAUUGGGCAGGUUGAAGAAUUAUACUUUUAUAACGUACAUAUAGAUAGAUAGCAAAUUAUGUCAUGUUCAGCGACUAGAUUAUUACUUCUAUAGACGGCAGAGAGAUGGGGUUGUAUUAAUAAAUGUUUUUUUUUGUGUAUCUAACUGCGGCGGAUUAUUAUUAAUUUUUGGUAUUAUCAUACAGGUGUGUGAUUUACCUGUCUACUAUAAUGAAUUACCGAUAUUAUACGUAAUAUGAUACCUCUAACUGCUUUACCGGUUACCAGAUGACCAAAAUGAUUCCUUUUUCCUCGGAGAUAAAAUGUAUGUUAUUCAAACAACCAUCUAAAAGUUUUAUUUUUUGUUUAUUUACGUAUUACUUUAUAUGUUCAAAAGAAAAAACUAAUAUAUUAUAUUAAAUAUAAUCAUUUAUUAUGUUUCUAUAAAAUAGAAAAAUUAGUUAAAAAUGAGGUAAAAUAAUAAAAAUAAUAAUAAAUAAAUAAAUUUUAGGAAAGGGCUUAUUUGAUCAAAUCAAUUAAAUAUGGCCGGGUUAAACAAAUUAUAUUUGUUUGUGACAGGUCAAUAGUCCUUUCAUAAGAUACGUCGUGUCACACGUGUUAACUAUAUAAUUAUCAGUUACUCAUAAUUUUUACGUAAUAAACAAAAUUGGAAGUCAUGAUUAAUAAUAUUAGGUAUAAAAAGGUGAAGCACAUCAAUAUAUAAAUAUGGAAAAUUGACUAAUAGGUAAUAUACACUAAUUUAAUUUCAAAAAUAAGUAAAAUUUAGAUUAAAUGAGAUAAAUUUAGCAAAUUUAUAAUUGCAAAUUUUAUCAUAUAAUUAUAGAUUUUAUAUAUUAAAAAGUAACAAAAUCAGUUAAAAUAAUGUAAUUGUUUCUGUUCGCGCACUUAACAACACAAUCUAAAAAUCCUACAAUAACCUCAAUAAAUACCUAAUCAUCAUACUGUUGAUUCAUAUACAUGUAUAAAUCCCAGAAAACCUCAUCCAUAUCUUCAUCAUCGUAAGCUAAUGAUCCGUGUUCUACUUUAGCUAUAGAAUCAGCAUAGGUUGUUGAUUGAGGCAUAUCUGUAAUUUUUGUAGUGGUAACAGGUAUAGUUGUGAUGUCUGAAGAUGGUGUAGUAGAUGAUCUAAUUAUAGUUGUUGACUGAGGCACAUCUGUAAUGUUUGUUGUGGUAACAGGUAUAGUAGAGAUGUUUGUAGAUUGUGUAGUUUUAGAACCAGCAACGGUUGUUGAUUGAGGCACAUCUGUAAUGUUUGUAGUGGUAACUGGUAUAGUAGUGAUGUCUGCAGAUGGCGUAGUAGAAGAUCCAACUAUAGUUGUUGAUUGAGGCACUUCUGUAAUGUUUGUUGUGGUAACUGGUAUAGUAGAGAUGUUUGUAGAUGGUGUAGUAGAAGAUCCAAUUAUAGUUGUUGAUUGAGGCACUUCUGUAAUGUUUGUUGUGGUAACAGGUAUAGUAGAGAUGUUUGUAGAUUGUGUAGUUGUAGAACCAGCAACGGUUGUUGAUUGAGGCACAUCUGUAAUGUUUGUAGUGGUAACUGGUAUAGUAGUGAUGUCUGCAGAUGGCGUAGUAGAAGAUCCAACUAUAGUUGUUGAUUGAGGCACUUCUGUAAUGUUUGUUGUGGUAACAGGUAUAGUAGAGAUGUUUGUAGAUGGUGUAGUAGAAGAUCCAAUUAUAAUUGUUGAUUGAGGCAUAUCUGUAAUGUUUGUUGUGGUAACAGGUAUAGUAGAAAUUUUUGUAGAUUGUGUAGUUGUAGAACCAGCAACGGUUGUUGAUUGAGGCACAUCUGUAAUGUUUGUAGUGGUAACUGGUAUAGUAGAGAUGUUUGUAAAUUGUGUAGUUGUAGAACCAGCAACGGUUGUUGAUUGAGGCACAUCUGUAACUAUAGUUGUGGUCGUGGACGUAGUAGAAAUUUCUGCAGAUUGUGUAGUUGUAGGACUAGCUACAGUUGUUUUAUGUGGCGUACAAGUGCAGUGACAAAAAUAUUUAGAGAAUAAAAAACAUAUAUAUUUACUGGCUGCAUAAUAUAUUGAG